CAUUAUUUUUCUUUUAGAUCUCGCCAUGGUCUUAAAACCAUGGCCAUGGUUCCAUGUUUUGCUUAAUGACCGCAUGUGCAGUUGGUGCAGGCGCAGCUAGGACCGCACUUGCAGCCAUCGUUCUCAGCUGAAGCAUCCAUCACAACAGUGUUGAUGUAGCUGCAAAUAAACAACACAACACAUAAUCACCAUACACGGAUAAAAUACACCAU